CUAACAACUGAAAAGAGAUAAGGAUAGCACUCACCAUGACUCCGAUGGAACACGACCUCAGCCUGCUCCUCGCUUACGGUUAAGGGAUUAACACCAACUCGUGGGUAUUCUAACUGUCGUUUUGA
rnacentral:ncRNA from 1 species